rnacentral:rRNA from 1 species
CAGUAGCCGCGGUAAUACGUAGGUGGCAAGCGUUGUCCGGAAUUAUUGGGCGUAAAGGGCUCGCAGGUGGUUUCCUAAGUCUGAUGUGAAAGCCCCCGGCUCAACCGGGGAGGGUCAUUGGAAACUGGGAAACUUGAGUGCAGAAGAGGAGAGUGGAAUUCCACGUGUAGCGGUGAAAUGCGUAGAGAUGUGGAGGAACACCAGUGGCGAAGGCGACUCUCUGGUCUGUAACUGACGCUGAGGAGCGAAAGCGUGGGGAGCGAACAGGAUUAGAUACCCGUGUAGUCCCUGUCUCUUAUAC